rnacentral:rRNA from 1 species
UACGUAGGGUGCGAGCGUUUAAUCGGAAUUACUGGGCGUAAAGGGCGCGUAGGCGGCCCGCUAAGUCGAACGUGAAAUCCCCGAGCUCAACUCGGGAACUGCGUCCGAUACUGGUGGGCUUGAAUCCGGGAGAGGGAUGCGGAAUUCCAGGUGUAGCGGUGAAAUGCGUAGAUAUCUGGAGGAAUACCGGUGGCGAAGGCGGCAUCCUGGACCGACAUUGACGCUGAACGGCGAAAGCUAGGGGAGCAAACGGGAGUUA